rnacentral:rRNA from 1 species
AACGAACGCUGGCGGCAUGCCUAACACAUGCAAGUCGAACGAGACCUUCGGGUCUAGUGGCGCACGGGUGCGUAACGCGUGGGAACCUGCCCUUAGGUUCGGAAUAACUCCCCGAAAGGGGUGCUAAUACCGGAUAAUGUCUUCGGACCAAAGAUUUAUCGCCUUUGGAUGGGCCCGCGUUGGAUUAGCUAGUUGGUAGGGUAAAAGCCUACCAAGGCGACGAUCCAUAGCUGGUCUGAGAGGAUGAUCAGCCACACUGGGACUGAGACACGGCCCAGACUCCUACGGGAGGCAGCAGUGGGGAAUAUUGGACAAUGGGCGAAAGCAUGAUCCAGCAAUGCCGCGUGAGUGAUGAAGGCAUUAGGGUUGUAAAGCUCUUUUAACCGGGAUGAUAAUGACAGUACCGGGAGAAUAAGCUCCGGCUAACUCCGUG